UUUCCUCAAUAAGACUAUCUUCCAUUUUUGAUCUUGCAUAAAUUACCUGAGCGACACAGCCUUCACUUUAAGAAGCUUUGGUUCAGGCAACCUGACAAUUAUUUUAGUGCAACAAGGUAACCAAAGUAAGAGGUGCAACAGCAAAUUGUUUUCGUUCAAGUGCUGGCUCUGGGACUUAAAGGUGAAAUUUAAGUUAAAACUCUGACACAAACCCUCAUGAAGUCGGCCAGCAAGAGAAACCCCCAUUCCUGAGGGUGUAGCACUUUCUCAGGGCAGGGCCUCUGUACACCUGACAGUAUCAGCAGCCAGACUGAGCAGGAAGAUUCAUGUGGAAACAUACACACUUGGGCACACACCCACCUGGACACCCUUGCACAGGUACAUACAUACAGGCACAUACAUGCUGACAUAAGUACACACACACACACACAACCCUCACACACAGGUAUGCAAACAUCCCACCCCACACACACAGGUAUACACGCACACACACACAAAGGUAAACACAGACACAAGUGUACACACACACACAGAGAUACAUCUACCCCCUCAUACACACAAUCCUGCAAGUCAGAAGUGACCAACACCUUCAACUCAUCCUUUAUCAGCCACUGCCCAGCAGUGGUGCCUCCUGUGUGGAGAGAGAAGAGCAUGGGUAUCCCCCAAGGCCCCUGGCCUCCCGGGACCCUUCUGGCCUGGAGAGCAGCAGGCGCAGGCCUGUGCAGAGCUCUGCCCGGAGGCCCAUGCUGCCCAGGGGGUCUGUGCCUCUGACCCCCUACCCUGCGGCCUCUCCAGCCCCCCAAGCAGGUGGGCUAACAUUCAAACCCUCAGCCCAGACUCAAGGCAUCUGCAUUCCCAGUCAGUCUUGCCUCAACCAAAAAGUCCUGAGACCACCCCUGGGAGAAAAAACACAACCCAGGAGAGCAGAGCUGAGAGAAGGAAGGCUCAGGGAAGCAGGCAAGGAAGCCUGAAACCAGCAUGCAAGCAACAGGGGGCAGCUUACCGUGUUACUUCUGUGGACAACAUGCUGCCCCUGUGAUCCCGUCACUCAAUCACCGGCCCUCCUCCGAGCUUCAGCAUCCCUACUGCAUCCUCCCAUGACAGGGCUGGGGUCUGACCCCAAGGGCCUGCUCCAGCCACUCCAAGUCCUGGCCCAAAUGACCUGGGGAGCGCCCCAGUCCUCGGAGUUUGUGGCUCAGGACAGCACAGCCCAGAGCGGUCUCUGUCCAUCCUCAGAACAGAGGCAUGGCCCUUUCUCCCCAACACAUGCCUGCUGCACAGGAAGACACAGAGAAGAUGAAGGGGCGGCCACAGAACUGAAAGCUGAAAGCCCCCUCGGCACUCUGACUGUGCACUGCCAGCCAGACAGAGGGACCCGGGCUCUUCAACGUCAAUGUCAACCCAGGACCCUACACUUUCAACCUUGAGUCAGGGUACAGAGCUCCACCCACAAAGCCACCACCCCCCAAGGCCACCACCCGGUGUCACAUGCUAUAGUCAUGGUUCUGUUCUACUCCUGUGACCCCCUGAAGGGAACAGGAAAAAAGCUGGCCUGUGGAUGACAGUGGCCAGAGAUAGAAGCAGCUCACCUGUGAGAUGACUGCACGGGGCUCCCUGACUCCGGGCUCACGGCCUGCUCCCCC
ensembl:lncRNA